rnacentral:rRNA from 1 species
GCGUUCGUCUUCAGACGUUUUGAUCCUGGCUCAGGAUGAACGCUAGCGUAUAGGCUUAACACAUGCAAGUCAGGGGCAGCAUGAAUAUCGGCUUGCCAAUAUUUGAUUGGCGACCGGCGCACGGGUGAGUAACACGUAUCCAACCUUCCGGUUACUCGGGGAUAGGCUUUCGAAAGAAAGAUUAAUACCCGAUGUUGCGUAUCUUUCUCCUGAAAGAUACGCCAAAGGAUUCCGGUAACCGAUGGGGAUGCGUUCCAUUAGGCAGUUGGCGGGGUAACGGCCCACCAAACCUUCGAUGGAUAGGGGUUCUGAGAGGAAGGUCCCCCACAUUGGAACUGAGACACGGUCCAA